rnacentral:sRNA from 1 species
UAGGACACUGUUGCGGCGUUUGACCUGGG